rnacentral:lncRNA from 1 species
UUGAGGCAAGAAAUCACUCAGUUGAGGAAAUCUUUAGAGGAAUCAAGGUAAAAUCCAUUUGUGUUUCUUUACAUGUGUCGCUGCUUUUGGCCGACAAUAUAGUCCUUUUAAAAAUUGGCGGAUAACAUCAUUAUUCAUUAUUGUCCUUUCAUAUAUAUAUAUAUUGGUCAAUAAUUACUUCACUUAUUUUAAUUUGGUGAAUUACUAGCAUAUAUUUUGACAUUUAAGAAAAACUAGACUGGCAAGAGAACAUUGUGAAUGGUUGGUCUAUAAAGGAUACCAAUAGAGAGUCUCUAUGGGAUAUCCUUAUAUGAUUUGUUUCUUUUGACCAGGCUUCAACUGUAGAGAGAAUAAUGAAGAACUUGAGGCAAGAAAUCACUCAGUUGAGGAAAUCUUUAGAGGAAUCAAGGUAAAACAAGAUGGAUGGCACAUUCCAUAUUUGCUUUCUUAAUUUCUUUCCUCGUUAUAUGCUCUCUCCUCCACGUGGAAUAGUAACUCUCGAGGACUAUUAUUGACUUGUUAACAUGUUAAAAGAUUCCUGCCAUGGGUUUUUUGCCUUUGUCAAGUGAAGUCACUUUUUAAAGUACAGGAAAGAUGUAGGACAUAAUAUCAAUGUGAGCAUUGUGUAAG